GGAGAGGUGGCAGAGUGGUUGAUUGUGCAGCACUGGAAAUGCUGUGUCCAUGAAAGUGGACCGGGGGUUCGAAUCCCCCCCUCUCCG
rnacentral:tRNA from 1 species